rnacentral:rRNA from 1 species
CAGCAGCCGCGGUAAUACGUAGGUGGCAAGCGUUGUCCGGAAUUAUUGGGCGUAAAGGGCCCGCAGGCGGUUUCUUAAGUCUGAUGUGAAAGCCCCCGGCUCAACCGGGGAGGGUCAUUGGAAACUGGGAAACUUGAGUGCAGAAGAGGAGAGUGGAAUUCCACGUGUAGCGGUGAAAUGCGUAGAGAUGUGGAGGAACACCAGUGGCGAAGGCGACUCUCUGGUCUGUAACUGACGCUGAGGAGCGGAAGCGUGGGGAGCGAACAGGAUUAGAUACCCCAGUAGUCCCUGUCUCUUAUAC